AAUUACGCAAGAGUUUUUGGUUUGGUUUCUUUAUAGGAUUUUAGGCAUAAACCUUAAGCUUUUUGAAGACAAAUAUUAUUUGGGCUAUGUUUAGAUUAUGGAUUUGUGGGGGAUUUACCAAUUGAAAAGCAAAUGACAGAAAUUUAGCUUAUUUUCCUCUGCCUUUUCUUUUACCUGCAUAAAGCCAUCUACGAAUUCAUGAUCCAAGCACAGCCCUAGUGUGCCAUUAUCCAUUGCUGCAUCCAUUGUAGAGAAAGUGACCAGGUUGUUCUGAAAUGUAUAAUGCAUUGCAGUGUUUGGAGAGGAAAUACGGGCUGCUGCUGAAUAUGGGAGAACGUGUACACCAUCUGCCAGAGAAUUGGCCCAUUACUUAUGAAAAUGCAGAAGACGAUAAGGUUAGUUGAUCCACAUUUUUCCCUUUACUAUCGCAUUAAUCUUUUUUGUUAUUUUGUUUGAACAAAAGCCUAUUGGAUUUUAACGGAGAAUAUUCAAAUUCAUUUCUCAUUAAUGUUUGUUAUAGACAUGGCCAGUUAUUGUAUAAAUUUUUUAUCACAUUCUGAAUUUGUGAGUACUUUUUGCUCGGUUUCUAGGGAAGUUGGAUGAAUCAGGUGAGUUAACAAAAAAGAAAAUAAUCAGAGCGGAGAUGAACUGUUAGAUAUUUUCAAAAUAUUAAGGGUGUUAUUUUUUUGGUUUUUGAAAAGCUUCAUUGUUCCUUUAGAAUGCUCAUUUUUGUAUGUGGGUUCUGUCCCACAUUAGUUAUAUAUGGAAAGUUUGUCUUCUUUAUAUAUAGAAACAUGUUUAAAGUAUUAAACAUAUUUGAAUAUAAAGGGGCUAUGCUAUGGUGCUUUGCACCAUAAAGUAUUGUGGUGCUUCACACCAUGAAUCCGCACCCGCGCGUGCGUGGCAGUGGGCUGUGUGGCGCAUUCAUGGUACACUUUGCACUAGGCGCGAGGCGCCCUUUCUUAUUGCAACUUGGCGACAAGUGGCAGUGACAUAGCGCUUGCGUGGCGAUUGAGUCAAUUGACAGUUGGUGAUGGCGUGGCACAUGCGUGGACCAAAGAAUGCGAUGGUAAGAAAAGUUGCGAUCUCAGCCGUAGAUUGUAACAGCGUGAUCGGAUGGAUAUAAUUCAAUCCGAAAGGUUGUAACCGUACGGAUUGAUCCAACGGUCACAACUAAAUGCGAAAGGUUGUGAUUGAAAGGGUGCGUAGUAGCCUAUAAAUAAACUACCCCUUAGAACGUUUUUCACAUCAGAGAAGAAAGAUAGAUAACUUACAUAUUAUUUUGAGCAUUCAUUUUGAGAUUUUGUUAUACUGCAGAAACAAAAUCUUAGUGGUUCUUGGUUCUCUUUUACUGUUUUACAAUUUAAGUAGAUAUUCUGACUGUUCUGUUUAUGCAAACAAAAUCUUAGUGGUUCUUGGUUCUCUUUUACUGUUUUACAAUUUAAGUAGAUAUAGACUGUUCUGUUUUAUGCAAACACAAAGAUAGUAAGAAACUGAGAGUUCAAGCUUCAUGUAUCUUGAGGCCAGAUUUUGUGUAACCGUGAACCAUCUGGUGGGGGCACAUACUGUCUUUAGGAAAGCGACGUUGUAACGCGCCUUGAAGUGUAUUGUAUUUGAAGACACUGCCAUACCAACCAAAUAAUUUUUCCAACAGGAACUCCAGUGUAAUUAGUAACGGAGUGAGGGAAAUCCAAGUGAGUCGCAUAUCCGUGCAAUUACCAUCUUGAAAACUCAUGCUAAAAGUCUCAUAUUUGUAACCCAAGUGCCCUUUGCUUUUGGGUAGUUAAGUGUUGAUUAUACUGACAAACUUGUGGUUGGCUUCAGAUGCAAAAUUAUUUGAGGAAGAAGGAACAAAAAGAACAAAUAGAAAAGGACCUCCGUGAAGGGCUGAAGCUUUACAAGUAAACCUUUAUCUGUCAAUUAGAACUUCUUUUGGUGUUUCUUUUGUCUUCUUGCUAUUCUUUGGUUCAGCAUCUCAUCCCCGAGACUCUUGUUUCCAAUUUAUUGGAUCUGCACUAUUUAAUGUACAAGAAAAAAAGGAGUUAGCCCUAAUCAUUCAAGGAGAAUAGCUUCAAUUUCAGUUUGGUAGUUUAGAUAUGGAUUUCAAUAUUGAAUUUGAGAACUGUCAUGAUGGAUUUAAAACAACAAUGUAUGAGAAGAAUAACUUGAAAUCUUCAAUACCAAGGAUUCUAGUUGUACAAAACAAAUCAAGUACAUUUUUCUUAUCUCACGCAUUUGCUCACAUCAUUUGAUGCCUUCCAUCGUUGUUAUUGGUUUAUUUAGGACGCAUUAGGUCUUCAUCUUUUUUGUUUAUAACCAAAUAAAGAAACUGUCACCUAUAUUGUUCUCAGAUGACUUUGAAAAUCAUUUGUUACCUUCCAAACACCUUCCAUGUCAUAUUUUCCCAAUAUUCAUGCAUUCUGAGAUAAUAUUAUGUGGCUGAAAGUCUUUUUCUCUUUCUGGAAAACGAUGGAGGACUUCAAAUACAAGGAAGCACUGGAGAAAUUUGAGUCAGUGUUGGGGUCAAAACCGGAUCCAACUGAAGCUUCGGUGGCUAGCUACAAUGCCGUGUGUUGCUAUUCUAAACUUAAUCAGGUGGUACUCAGACUUCCAAAGCAAUGGUAUAAUAUCAUUAUAUUCUUGUGUUAAUAGUUUUUAAUUCUAAUUUCCUUUUAUUUUGUGAUUUCAGAUACAAGCUGGACUUUCAGGAUUCGAAGAUUUCAAGGUAACGAAUAGAACAAAUUUAACGUACUUUAUGCUAAAUUCUAAUUCUGCAACUGUUGCUACGUUUACAGCGAAUCAGGACAGACCCUGAUCUAGCCAACAUCAGAACAUCAGAAGAAUUUGAGCCUCUUAUGAAAAGGUUUGAUGAAUCGUUUAUCAACAAGAACGCCACCCAUGCCAUCAAGUCUAUCUUUGGAUUUAUUCUGUGUGGAGCAAAUUUCAUAAUAGUGCCCAGAAGAACUUCAAAGGCACGUCAAGAAUGUCGUUUUCCUUAAAGCGUUAUUCGCCCACACCAAUCUGUAAGACUGAGUAUGCCCACUGGGUUCACAGCGGGAACGCCUUUAGGAUACAAUGAAGCCUCAGAAGUUAAUCUGAUGUCUGACUGCGUUCUGCACAAACGAAAUCAGACCAAAAUUACUUUCAGAUUUUUCUGGUAGCCAAGAAUCUGAAAAUUCUGUUUCUGCAGAAAACAGAAUUCAAGAACAAGUUGGAAAAAUGUAAUUUAACAAGGAAAAAGAGAAGUUCGAAAACAAGUGAUUUAAUUGCUGAAAAAUUGUCAAUUAUAGCUGAAUAGUGUUUUUAAUGAAGAGGUGUAUUGAAGAAAGAUGAUGGUUAAUUCAAAAUCUAACAGUCAUUUUUAACAGUAAUUAGAUUUAUUAAACAAGUCCAUCGAUCACACCUUUUAGUAUUCAAAGGUUUGGAGAUCGCACCUCUUCAAUAUCCAAUCAAGCCGUUAUCACAUCUUAUAAUAGAUGUGUUUUUCACCAUAGAUCUUGUAAUCUUAAUAUAACCCCGAUCGUUGUGACAUCAUGAAUAAAAAAAUCAAUGGUCUUGAUCACAAGACACAAGUGCCAAAAGUGCGCCACCGCAUGCGGAAAGUUGCACCGUCCUACAUGGCACAUCACUUAUACCCAAGUAUAGUGCCUAGCCACAAUAAGACAAAAAACAAGAGUCAUAAUGGACUAUCACAUUAAAAAACUUUUUACUUCCCCCCCCAUCUCUUUUUUCAAUGUGGGACUCCAAAAACUUCAAACAAUUCAUAUAUACAUUAUAUUUGUGAAAAAUAUUUUUUUAACUAUUCAAACAAGAACUAGAGAUUGAGAAGACCUGAGCUUGUCAUUGUAUUUGAGAUUUUACAACUGAACUGGUGCAAGUAUUGGCCUGACCAUCUCGAGUUUCCAUACAGAUGGCUUUCCCAUUUGUUUGUUGUUUUUUACACAUGAUCAAUUUUGGAAGUUGAAAUGAUUUUUGAUUGUUUUAUCUAAUUGUAUCUCUAGUUAAAUUCUGUCUCCUGUAAUUAUCUGGACAAAAGGAUUGAAGGAAUAAAUAAAAGAUUUCCUUUCCAUCAUCUUGGUGUUACAAUAACUUUCAGUUAAAAUGGUGAUGCAAGAUCAUGCUGCACAAGUGAAAGAAAGGGGAUAGAAUUUUAUGCAGAAAAGCAGUGGCAGUAGUGUUUUCUAAAUUUUGAGCCAACGAGGUUUUGGUUUGAAUGAAAAAUACAAGGCCACACCAUUCUUUGCAAGAAUUCUAUAAAAGAAAUUCUAUUUGUGUAUCAUUUCCUGCGUAUUCAAGAUACUGUUUCAAUAGCACGUAUAAGAGAAAAUGAAAUUUCUGUUUCGUAUCAAAGUCAUUCAACUGAACUUGUCAAUUGCUGUAUGAUACAUUAAUCUACUCGAAAUAAAGUCUUCCAAGACAAUUCUAAACCAUUCCAUGAGCCUUUCAAGGACUUAAAACUGACCUGGAGGAUAGUGACUUAGGCAUGAUGUGUGACUUUAGAGUAAUUGCUCAUGACUCCUUCCACCGAACCAAAAGAAUCCUUAGAAUGGGGAUCCCAACUUGGCACCCUUGAGUGAGGGUGAGAUUUUGAGAAGAGUUUCUCUUUCAAUUUUGUAAAAUUUCCAUUGUAUAAUGAAUUAAAGCAAGUUUAUCUUUAUAAGAACAUUAUCUUGGGAUGGGUGGACCAGAC
rnacentral:lncRNA from 1 species